CAGUCACAGUUCGGAUUGAAGGCUGAAAUUCGCCUUCAUGAAGCCGGAAUUGCUAGUAAUGGCAGGUCAGCAUACUGCCGUGAAUACGUUCCCGGGCCUUGUACACACCGCCCGUCAAGCCAUGGGAGCCGGGGGUGCCUGAAGUUCGUGACCGCAAGGAGCGACCUAGGGCAAAACUGGUGACUGGGGCUAAGUCGUAACAAGGUAUC
rnacentral:rRNA from 1 species